rnacentral:rRNA from 1 species
UUAACACAUGCAAGUCGAGGGGCAGCAUGGUUUUAGCUUGCUAAGACUGAUGGCGACCGGCGCACGGGUGAGUAACACGUAUCCAACCUGCCGUCUACUCUUGGACAGCCUUCUGAAAGGAAGAUUAAUACAAGAUGGCAUCAUGAGUCCGCAUGCUCACAUGAUUAAAGGUAUUCCGGUAGACGAUGGGGAUGCGUUCCAUUAGAUAGUAGGCGGGGUAACGGCCCACCUAGUCUUCGAUGGAUAGGGGUUCUGAGAGGAAGGUCCCCCACAUUGGAACUGAGACACGGUCCAAACUCCUACGGGAGGCAGCAGUGAGGAAUAUUGGUCAAUGGGCGAGAGCCUGAACCAGCCAAGUAGCGUGAAGGAUGACUGCCCUAUGGGUUGUAAACUUCUUUUAUAAAGGAAUAAAGUCGGGUAUGCAUACCCGUUUGCAUGUACUUUAUGAAUAAGGAUCGGCUAACUCCGUGCCAGCAGCCGCGGUAAUACGGAGGAUCCGAGCGUUAUCCGGAUUUAUUGGGUUUAAAGGGAGCGUAGAUGGAUGUUUAAGUCAGUUGUGAAAGUUUGCGGCUCAACCGUAAAAUUGCAGUUGAUACUGGAUAUCUUGAGUGCAGUUGAGGCAGGCGGAAUUCGUGGUGUAGCGGUGAAAUGCUUAGAUAUCACGAAGAACUCCGAUUGCGAAGGCAGCCUGCUAAGCUGCAACUGACAUUGAGGCUCGAAAGUGUGGGUAUCAAACAGGAUUAGAUACCCUGGUAGUCCACACGGUAAACGAUGAAUACUCGCUGUUUGCGAUAUACUGCAAGCGGCCAAGCGAAAGCGUUAAGUAUUCCACCUGGGGAGUACGCCGGCAACGGUGAAACUCAAAGGAAUUGACGGGGGCCCGCACAAGCGGAGGAACAUGUGGUUUAAUUCGAUGAUACGCGAGGAACCUUACCCGGGCUUAAAUUGCAGAUGAAUUACGGUGAAAGCCGUAAGCCGCAAGGCAUCUGUGAAGGUGCUGCAUGGUUGUCGUCAGCUCGUGCCGUGAGGUGUCGGCUUAAGUGCCAUAACGAGCGCAACCCUUGUUGUCAGUUACUAACAGGUUCCGCUGAGGACUCUGACAAGACUGCCAUCGUAAGAUGUGAGGAAGGUGGGGAUGACGUCAAAUCAGCACGGCCCUUACGUCCGGGGCUACACACGUGUUACAAUGGGGGGUACAGAGGGCCGCUACCACGCGAGUGGAUGCCAAUCCCCAAAACCUCUCUCAGUUCGGACUGGAGUCUGCAACCCGACUCCACGAAGCUGGAUUCGCUAGUAAUCGCGCAUCAGCCACGGCGCGGUGAAUACGUUCCCGGGCCUUGUACACACCGCCCGUCAAGCCAUGGGAGCCGGGGGUACCUGAAGUGCGUAACCGCGAGGAGCGCCCUAGGGUAAAACUGGUGACUGGGGCUAAGAC